CCUCCUCCCUCUCUUACUCCUGCUUCCUGCUUGCUUGUCUCUUGCCUUUUGCUCUCCCUCUCUCUGCAUUUCCUUACCCCCUCUUUCCACUUGGCCAUGGCUGGCCUCUACUUCUCUACUCUCUACUCUCUUCCAGAGGCUGAAGGAAGGGCCAUCGUCACUACCCCACAGGGAGGGAGGAUGGGGCAGACACUAAACCAAACACUGUUUUGGUUGCCAGGAGGUACUUGCUAAAUGGGACCUGGUAUGGCUGUUCCUUGGAGGAUUGGACCGCAGCUGACCAAUGCAGAUGUGGAUGCUUGGAGCCAACAAUCAGAUCAGGCUCAGGGACCCCUGUAGGGGAGCAGCCUGAAGGACUGGAGGUGCAGAGGGGGAUUGCAAGCCCAUAGGAAGAACAACAUCUGCUGGCCAGACCACCCAGAGCUCCCAGAAACUAGACCACUAACCAAGGAGUGUACAGGAAGGGAUCCGUGUCUCCACAUAGGAGGGAAAGCUAGAAUAUCUCAGUUGCCAUGGGAACAGGGAACAGGUAGCCAACUAAUGGCAUGAUCAUCAAAUGGAACUGAGAAACAGAUAGAGAGGCAAGUAGUAGGGACAGUAACAACCUUAAAGAUCUGUGCCUGUAACUCUGCUUUCACCAGGACACUUUCUUCCUACGGGGCUACCUUGUCUAGCCUCAAUAGGAGAAGAUGUGCUUUGUCUUACUGCGACUUGAUAUGCCAAGGAAAGGGUAGAAUAGAAGAUGGAACAUCCUGGAAGCAGAAAGAAUCCUGGGAUGGGGCUAGGCAUGGGAUGCUUGCCCACGAAGAUGUGAGGAGAGAGACCCAUGGUACCUGAGCAUGGAUAACCAGCCAUAUAGCAGAAUGCUACAGAGAGGGGAAGAAUGAAAACCAUCAGAAACCCAGUGGUGCCAAUGGCCAGCCAGAGAACGAGCCCUGCCUGUGGCUCUCCUUCAGGACUCUGUGGGAUCUGGAGCUCCACACGUACUACCCUAGAACUCACUCUUCCCUACAGGAAUAAUUAGUCGUGUCAAGAUGACUACUCUGUGACAACGUGAUUUCAAUGAGGAAAAGUUGAAGAAUAAACUAUAAUUAUUUGGACAGUCACUUGAUCAGGUUUUCUUUUUCCUUGUCACAUUUUAAAUGAUUUGCGAAGCUCUAUGUGGGUGUCUGCUGAAGAGG
rnacentral:lncRNA from 1 species